AUAUGCUUGUCUCAAAGAUUAAGCCAUGCAUGUCUCAGUACAAGCCGCAUUAAGGUGAAACCGCGAAAGGCUCAUUAAAUCAGUUAUGGUUCCUUAGAUCGUACCCACAUUUACUUGGAUAACUGUGGUAAUUCUAGAGCUAAUACAUGCAAACAGAGUUCCGACCGGAGACGGGAGGAAUGCUUUUAUUAGAUCAAAACCAAUCGGCGGCGGGCGCGCUCGCGCGCCCGUUCGCCGCUCAACCUGGUGACUCUGAAUAACUUUCGGCUGAUCGCACGGUCCAGCACCGGCGACGCAUCUUUCAAAUGUCUGCCUUAUCAACUGUCGAUGGUAGGUUCUGCGCCUACCAUGGUCGUAACGGGUAACGGGGAAUCAGGGUUCGAUUCCGGAGAGGGAGCCUGAGAAACGGCUACCACAUCCAAGGAAGGCAGCAGGCGCGCAAAUUACCCACUCCCGGCACGGGGAGGUAGUGACGAAAAAUAACGAUACGGGACUCAUCCGAGGCCCCGUAAUCGGAAUGAGUACACUUUAAAUCCUUUAACCAGGAUCAAUUGGAGGGCAAGUCUGGUGCCAGCAGCCGCGGUAAUUCCAGCUCCAAUAGCGUAUAUU
rnacentral:rRNA from 1 species